UACGUAGGUGGCAAGCGUUGUCCGGAAUUAUUGGGCGUAAAGCGCGCGCAGGCGGCCUUUUAAGUCUGAUGUGAAAGCCCACGGCUCAACCGUGGAAGGUCAUUGGAAACUGAAAGGCUUGAGUACAGAAGAGGAAAGCGGAAUUCCACGUGUAGCGGUGAAAUGCGUAGAGAUCGGGAGGAACAUCAGUGGCGAAGGCGGCCAUCUGGGACAACACUGACGCUGAAGCACGAAAGCGUGGGGAGCAAACAGG
rnacentral:rRNA from 1 species